rnacentral:lncRNA from 1 species
AAACUGUGAGUUCUCUAUAAAGAGAAUGAUACUCAGAGGAUUAUAAACCAUGAUUAAGGUUUACAUUAUUCUCUGAGAAAGAGCAAAAGAACAACAAAUUUUUUUUUGAAGGAGAUCAAUUAAGAGUCCCCAUGCCUAAAUUUGUCAAGCUGCAAAACCUAUUUUGGGAAUUGAUAAAAUAUUCAAAACAAUAAUUAAUCUGCAGCUUUAGAAUAUAAUUAAAAGAAGAAAUUAAAAAAAUGUCAAAAUCAAAUGAAACACAUAAAUUAGUUAAAUGAUGUAUCUUUCUUAGAGUACGAAAAACCAAAAGAAAAAAAAAUAUAUUGGAAGAACUAAAAACUUUAUUAUAAGAAAAUAGAGAUUCAAUAAGAGAUGAGAAGAAACAAAACAAGAACCAAAAGCAGAUCUGCGAAUUUAUAUUACUCAGUUUCCUAGAUUAUAUGAGUAAACGAAGUUAACUAAUCUGCAAAAACUGUAAUCAAACCAGACAGUAAUUUUAGAAAGAAUUUAAAAAAUUGUAGAAGGGAGAAAAAUAUAUAAUCUAUCUCUGAGAAAAGCCCUAGAUCUGAAUUUGUACGAAAAGAAACCCCCCCAAAAAAAAAACCUUUGAUCUGGGUAAUGAGAAACAAGAACUUUGACUGUAAUGACAAAAACCAAAAGAACGCAAAUUGUACAUAUUGUGUUAGAGAGGCAGAUCUAUAUAUACAAUAUAUAAAGAAUGAAACCCGGACAGAACAAGAAAAGUAAAUUAGCCGACGACCUUUGUGUGUGUGUUUUUAUUUCAAACCCUAUAAUCAAAUAAGAAGCCCUAGCUUAGCUUUGCUAGUGCGAGAGGUGUGGUGGCUACAGAGAUACCAACCCUAGAAGAUGUAGGAGUUGCGAGUACUGUACGCGUCCGGUUUCAAUGGCGGAUUUUUAGGGUUUCUUGAAAAUCUUUUUUUAUUUUGUUUUUUUUCUUCUUCUUUGAUUUUUUGUCUUUGUUGUUGUUGUUGUUGUUGUUUAGUUGAACCCAGCAGAGGUAGCUGCCUCAUAGCUAGUUUUUAAGUAUUAAUUUUAUGAACUUUAAACAUAAUUUUUUAAAAUAUAUUUAAGAAAGCAAAUCUUUCUUUUAUUCACAGUGAGAUUUAGCUGUGGCAAAUGUUCAUCUUUUUCUUUCCAGCAUUGCAUAUACAUGUUGAGAUCUUUUAUUUUUUAUCUUU